rnacentral:tRNA from 1 species
UCUCUGGUAGUCCAAUGGUUAAGACUUGACAUUCCCAAUGCAGAGAACCUGGGUUUGAUCCCUGGUCAGGGAA